GGUUGAUCGGGGGAGCGGGCGGAGGGGGGGAAAGGAGCUGUGAGGAAAACUCUGGAAGAUUCGGGUGCUGCUGGGCGCUGAUUGGUUAGCAGUGAGAUCCAGCCUGGAUGCCUUGAUGGUGAGGAGACUGUCCAGAAUGCUUUCCCCUCCAAAAUAUUAAAGACGAACACAGGCACUGACACUCUA